rnacentral:tRNA from 1 species
UCAGGGAUACUUCAAUUGGUAGAAGGCUCGGCUCUGAACCGAGAAGCUGGUGGUUCGACUCCACCUCCCUGAA